rnacentral:rRNA from 1 species
CUUGGUCAUUUAGAGGAAGUAAAAGUCGUAACAAGGUUUCCGUAGGUGAACCUGCGGAAGGAUCAUUAUUGAAAUAAACCUGAUGGGUUGCUGCUGGCUCUCUCGGGAGCAUGUGCACACUUGUCAUCUUUAUAUCUCCACCUGUGCACCUUUUGUAGAUCUGGAUAUCUUUCUGAAUGCCUGGCAUUCAGGUUUGAGGAUUGACUUUUUGUCUUUCCUUACAUUUCCAGGCCUAUGUUUUCUUCAUAUACACCAUUAUGUUAUAGAAUGUAAUGAAAGGCCUUUGUGCCUACAAACUUUAUACAACUUUCAGCAACGGAUCUCUUGGCUCUCGCAUCGAUGAAGAACGCAGCGAAAUGCGAUAAGUAAUGUGAAUUGCAGAAUUCAGUGAAUCAUCGAAUCUUUGAACGCACCUUGCGCUCCUUGGUAUUCCGAGGAGCAUGCCUGUUUGAGUGUCAUUAAUAUAUCAACCUCCUCAGGUUUUUACUUGUCGAGUGUUUGGAUGGUGGGGGGUUUCUUUUGCUGGUCUCUUUGAGAUCGACUCCCCUAAAAUGCAUUAGCGGAACAAUUUGUUGACCCGUUCAUUGGUGUGAUAAUAUCUACGCUUUUGACGUGAAACAGGUUCAGCUUCUAACAGUCCAUUGACUUGGACAAUUUUUCAUUAAUGUGACCUCAAAUCAGGUAGGACUACCCGCUGAACUUAAGCAUAUCAAUAAGCGGAG